GCCCGGUGCGGGGGGGAGGGGCGACGGAGGCCGAGGAGGGGCCGGGCCGGGCCUCGAUGGCGGAGCCGGGGCGGGACCCGCGCUCGUUCUGCGACCUGAUGGUGGCCGCCGUGGUGCUGCUCUGCUGGGGCUUCGUCCUCUACGGGGCACGAGUGAUUGCCCAGCGGCAGCUGGAAAGUGGCGUCUUUGGGCCAGCGCUACCCUAGGACAACCCCAGGAGCUUGACCUCGACUCCAAGAGCAAGAAGGGGUCUGGCAGAAGGCUGGGAGGGGCCCUGAUGGUUGACUGGGGAAAUAAAACUUAAUUAGCUCUUAGAAAAGAGAAGGUAAUUAAAGCAUAAAGAGCUGUUGGGAAAGAGUAAAA